rnacentral:lncRNA from 1 species
AAAAAUUACGAAGUAAAAAUUAUAUCUAUACUACUUAUAAAUUCUUUCGCAAAGAAUAAUUUCAAAGCAACCGCCAAUUAUUUCGUUUUUACUUUGGUCAUCUAUACCGAUUUUUUCGCAACCAAUCAUUUCAAAUAAUUCGCAACAGAUUAUUGCGUAAAACAAAUUAUGUAGUAUCUUUUUUUAAAAAAAAUAAAGCAAAUAUAUGUUAAAUUUGAAAAUGAAAUCGUAUCUUACAUUUUGAUCAGAAAGAACUAACUCUAUAAAAAAAAAACAAAGCAAAUGAAUGUUAAAUUUGAAAAUGAAAUAAUAUCUUACAUUUUGAUCAGAAAGAACUAACUCAAAACUAUUCACCAUCUCUGGGCGAUGAAAUUCAGGCAUAGUAUACAGACAAAUCACUCUAACUUUGAUCUUCCAUUUGUCUCCAAGAGGAGUGAUGUCACGUAUUGAAUCAUACCCAAGUGCCAUAUCCUGAGAAAAAUAAGACAUCCAAUAAAAAAAUUAAUACAUCAUAUUUAAAUAAUAAAAUAAAAAAAUAUAUGUUCUAUUUUAAAGCAUCAACAUUUAAGAACUAAGAAAAUUACAGGAGUGACAGUAGAGAAAACAAAAUUACGAAUGACAGUAGAGAAAAAAAAAUUACGAAGUAAAAAUUAUAUCUAUACUACUUAUAAAUUCUUUCGCAAAGAAUAAUUUCAAAGCAACCGCCAAUCAUUUCGUUUUUACUUUGGUCAUCUAUACCGAUUUUUUCGCAACCAAUCAUUUCAAAUAAUUCGCAACAGAUUAUUGCGGAUUUCGCAAUCAAUAAUUUUAAAUAAUUAAUUAUUUGCCAAUACGAAAUUUGAGUUUGACCAUUUUUUUCGCAACUAACCAUUUCAAAUAAUUCGCAACAGAUUAUUGCUUAUUUCGCAACCAAUAAUUUUAAACAAUUAAUUAUCUGCCAAUACGAAAUUUGAGUUUUACUGUUAUCUGCCAAUACGAAAUUUGAGUUUGACCGUUAGAUUAUUGAUUUCGAAAGCAAUAAUUUUAAAUAAUUAAUUAUCUGCCAAUACGAAAUUUAAGUUUGACCCUUUUUUUCGCAACUAACCAUUUCAAAUAAUUCACAACAGAUUAUUGCUUAUUUCGCAACCAAUAAUUUUAAACAAUUAAUUAUCUGCCAAUACGAAAUUUGAGUUUUACUGUUAUCUGCCAAUACGAAAUUUGAGUUUGACCGUUAGAUUAUUGAUUUCGAAAGCAAUAAUUUUAAAUAAUUAAUUAUCUGCCAAUACGAAAUUUAAGUUUGACCCUUUUUUUCGCAACUAACCAUUUCAAAUAAUUCACAACAGAUUAUUGCUUAUUUCGCAACCAAUAAUUUUAAAUAAUUAAUUAUCUGCCAAUACGAAAUUUGAGUUUGCAACAGAUUAUUUCCAUUGCGAAAAAAUAAUUCGCAACAGAUUAUUACGUAUUUCGCAACCAAUAAUUUUAAAGUAACGUGUCAGCUUCUCACAUAGGGUUCAUUAAGGGUUCUACUUUUAUAUAUAGUAAUAGAUUAGUUAUAAUAGAAAGGGUGACUACAGAAAAAUAAUUUGAUUGGUGAGUAUUAUCAAAGAGUGA